rnacentral:misc_RNA from 1 species
GAUGAAGAACGUAGUGAAAUGCGAUAAGUAAUGUGAAUUGCAGAAUUCAGUGAAUCAUCGAAUCUUUGAACGCAUCUUGCGCUCCUUGGUAUUCUGAGGAGCAUGCCUGUUUGAGUGUCCUUAAAUUCUCAACUACACUGACUUUGAAUUGGUGUGGCUUGGAUUUGGGGGGAAAAUUGUUGUGGGCUUUUUGUAUAGUCUGCUCCCCUGAAAUUGAUUAGCGGUACCUUUGUGGAACUGUCUACAGGUGUGAUAAUUAUCUACAUCUUAGCCAUCUGCUGGAAUGCUGCUUUCUAAACCUUACUUGUAUUGACGAUCUUGACCUCAAAUCAGGUAGGACUACCCGCUGAACUUAAGCAUAUCAAUAAGCGGAGGA